UUAAACACGCCGACAUAGAGCAUUACAGAUGGGGGAACUAGCGAAAGCUAUAGCUGGGCGUGGCGUUUACCUUUUUGUGCCGACUGCCCUCCUUCGAUUCGAUCGGUACUUAACCGGCGACACUUCCAGCGCAAACCAUUCCCCUCUCGAUCGAUUCCUUGGCUUUCCCCCUUCCUCCCGCGCCCCAUUUAACUCGCGGCCCUUCCUCUAGCUCUUCUGCAACGUACUACAUCCUCCUUGCUAAUUAAGCUUCUCAGCUCUCUCCGUCAGCUCGGCGCGAACGCAGAGCCGCUACGGUCUCAGGUGCGCGAGCGAGCGGUACGAAGGCAAAGAUAAUCAGCAAAGAUGCAGAUGGUACUGGUGAUAUCGCUGCCCCUCGUGGCGCUGGUCAUCAUCAUCGCCAUCGUGCUCUGCGUCGUCUGCCGUUAACCAAACCGCCGACCUCGCCGGCCGGACUGACGGACUCCGGCGUCGCGUCAUGUAGUCUCUCAUAUAGGCCGUAGCGUCGUUUAAUCUGCUGUGACACUACUGUCGUCCUUGUGUAUUCGUCUGCAAUUCUGCAUGGUGUGUGAUAUCUACUCUCUCUUUUUUCUUCUUUUUCUCGCCAACGUGAAAUGUAUUGCCGAGUGUUAUACUAUUGAUUGAUCCACUUCUGUGUGUCGUACCACGUAGUACUACUUCGAUGUAAUGUAAUCUUUCUCUCCAGAUUUUGGUCCUGAUUUCAGAGUCACCAAACGUGAAAACACACACACAUGAUGUAAGCACUUGACCGUUAGACAUCUGGGUCCACUCAGAGUCAGGUGUGUCCGGCGCCGGAGUCCUCGGCUGACUGACACACAUCACUCGGAAGUCGUUCGUCACGCGUUUUUCCCCUUCCCAGUGUUCCUCCUUUCUUCUCCGCUCCCCUAUAGCUGAUUAGUUUUAGCCUGUCCACCCCACGCAGACGCAGGCACGCACCAGCACCAGAAACCACUCGCUCCUCCGUCCCGGCCUUCUCCCCCCAUCGCCGAUCUCCUUCCAGCCUCUCUCCUCUCGACGUCGAAGGAGACCCGAAGCACCAACAGGGAGCGCCCGCGGCUCGAUUCGGCGCAGGUAAAAGCAGAUGGAGUUCGUGCUCAUCAUCUCCCUGCCGCUGCUCAUCCUGGUCCUGAUCAUCGCGGUCGUCCUCUGCUGCGUGUGCCGCUAAUUGAAUGGCGGCAUCUCUGCCAUCUAAUCAACCGUGUGUUCAAACAAUCCAUUAUUACAUCAUGACGAGAUAAAAAAGGGAAACUCUCCUAGUUUCCUCUCUAUUUUACCUUUUUUCUUCUUUUCCAGUGGUGUGAUUAGUUGGCUCUAGCUUUACUAUCUUUCGUGAUGGCGAAAGGGGCGUCGAUUCCAUGUGUCAACACUCAUACUAUGACAUGUGUGCUGUAAGAAGAACAAUCCUCUCACGUCUUUGAUUCCUCUUAAUUAGUGCUACAAGCAUGUGGGAGAUUGGAGAUUGCCUGAAAGUGCCGUCUUCUUUCUAUCUCUCUUUCCGUUC